GGGGAUGUAGCUCAGUUGGUAGAGCACUUGCCUGGCAUGCACAAAGUCCAGGUUCCAUCCCUGGCAUCACGU
rnacentral:tRNA from 1 species